rnacentral:rRNA from 1 species
GGACGAACGCUGGCGGCGUGCUUAACACAUGCAAGUCGAACGGAAAGGCCCUGCUUUUGUGGGGUGCUCGAGUGGCGAACGGGUGAGUAACACGGGAGUAACCUGCCCUUGACUUUGGGAUAACUUCAGGAAACUGGGGCUAAUACCGGAUAGGAGCUCCUGCUGAAUGGUGGGGGGUGGAAAGUUUCGGAGGUUGGGGAUGGACUCGCGGCUUAUCAGCUUGUUGGUGGGGUAGUGGCUUACCAAGGCUUUGACGGGUAGCCGGCCUGAGAGGGUGACCGGCCACAUUGGGACUGAGAUACGGCCCAGACUCCUACGGGAGGCAGCAGUGGGGAAUAUUGCACAAUGGGCGGAAGCCUGAUGCAGCAACGCCGCGUGCGGGAUGACGGCCUUCGGGUUGUAAACCGCUUUCGCCUGUGACGAAGCGUGAGUGGCGGUAAUGGGUAAAGAAGCACCGGCUAACUACGUG